rnacentral:misc_RNA from 1 species
UACGAAGGUGGCGAGCGUUGUUCGGAAUCACUGGGCAUAAAGCGCGCGUAGGCGGCUACGUCAGUCGGAUGUGAAAGCCCUCAGCUCAACUGAGGAACUGCGUCCGAUACUGCGUGGCUUGAGGCCUGGAGGGGAGAACGGAAUUCCUGGUGGAGCGGUGAAAUGCGUAGAGAUCAGGAGGAACGCCGGCGGCGAAAGCGGUUCUCUGGACAGGUCCUGACGCUGAGGCGCGAAAGCUAGGGGAGCAAACGGG